rnacentral:rRNA from 1 species
UACGUAGGGUGCGAGCGUUAAUCGUAAUUACUGGGCGUAAAGCGUGCGCAGGCGGUUUGCUAAGACCGAUGUGAAAUCCCCGGGCUCAACCUGGGAACUGCGGUUGAAACUGGCGAACUAGAAUCUGGCAGAGGGGGGUGGAAUUCCACGUGUAGCAGUGAAAUGCGUAGAGAUGUGGAGGAACACCGAUGGCGAAGGCAGCCCCCUGGGCUGAGAUUGACGCUCAGGCACGAAAGCGUGGGGAGCAAACAGG